GAUGAACGCUGGCGGCGUGCCUAAUACAUGCAAGUCGAGCGAAUGGAUUGAGAGCUUGCUCUUAUGAAGUUAGCGGCGGACGGGUGAGUAACACGUGGGUAACCUGCCCAUAAGACUGGGAUAACUCCGGGAAACCGGGGCUAAUACCGGAUAACAUUUUGAACCGCAUGGUUCGAAAUUGAAAGGCGGCUUCGGCUGUCACUUAUGGAUGGACCCGCGUCGCAUUAGCUAGUUGGUGAGGUAACGGCUCACCAGGGCAACGAUGCGUAGCCGACCUGAGAGGGUGAUCGGCCACACUGGGACUGAGACACGGCCCAAACUCCUACGGGAGGCAGCAGUAGGGAAUCUUCCGCAAUGGACGAAAGUCUGACGGAGCAACGCCGCGUGAGUGAUGAAGGCUUUCGGGUCGUAAAACUCUGUUGUUAGGGAAGAACAAGUGCUAGUUGAAUAAGCUGGCACCUUGACGGUACCUAACCAGAAAGCCACGGCUAACUACGUGCCAGCAGCCGCAGUAA
rnacentral:rRNA from 1 species